rnacentral:sRNA from 2 species
CACCAAAUUGAGGCCCAAAACAGCGGUUGAAAAUGAGUGGGCUGGGGGGGUAUGGAUCGUAUGUGCGCGGUAUUUGGGUAUCGUUGUAUUUUUUUUGUGACUUUCCUCUUUGGAGCAAGCAGCUGUGGCUGUGGGACCUGGGAUGGAAGCUGAGCGAGGGCUUGCCGAAACGGUAAGUUACUGAUACAUCGUCCAUAGAUACAGAGGAUGGACUGGACCCGACUGAACUGCACAGAUCACAUUUUUGGGAAUUCUGCUACCUAAUUUGCGGGUCUUUUCAUGUUUGAUACUCUGAUUCUCUGAUUUAGCUUCAUUGGCGUAGUCUGUAGACACGUAGGCAGAUUCAUAUUCUUAUCGUCUAUCAUCCAAGCGGAC